rnacentral:rRNA from 1 species
CAGUAGCCGCGGUAAUACGAAGGGGGCUAGCGUUGCUCGGAAUUACUGGGCGUAAAGCGCACGUAGGCGGAUCGAUCAGUCAGGGGUGAAAUCCCAGAGCUCAACUCUGGAACUGCCUUUGAUACUGUCGAUCUGGAGUAUGGAAGAGGUGAGUGGAAUUCCGAGUGUAGAGGUGAAAUUCGUAGAUAUUCGGAGGAACACCAGUGGCGAAGGCGGCUCACUGGUCCAUUACUGACGCUGAGGUGCGAAAGCGUGGGGAGCAAACAGGAUUAGAUACCCCCGUAGUCCCUGUCUCUUAUAC